AUUGAACGCUGGCGGCAUGCCUUACACAUGCAAGUCGAACGGCAGCACGGGAGCAAUCCUGGUGGCGAGUGGCGAACGGGUGAGUAAUAUAUCGGAACGUGCCCAGUCGUGGGGAUAACGUAGCGAAAGCUACGCUAAUACCGCAUACGAUCUAUGGAUGAAAGCGGGGGAUCGCAAGACCUCGCGCGAUUGGAGCGGCCGAUAUCAGAUUAGGUAGUUGGUGAGGUAAAGGCUCACCAAGCCGACGAUCUGUAGCUGGUCUGAGAGGACGACCAGCCACACUGGGACUGAGACACGGCCCAGACUCCUACGGGAGGCAGCAGUGGGGAAUUUUGGACAAUGGGCGGCAAGCCUGAUCCAGCAAUGCCGCGUGCAGGAUGAAGGCCUCGGUUGUAAC
rnacentral:rRNA from 1 species